rnacentral:rRNA from 1 species
AGCAGUAGCCGCGGUAAAACGAAGGGUGCAAGCGUUACUCGGAAUUACUGGGCGUAAAGCGUGCGUAGGUGGUGAUUUAAGUCCGUUGUGAAAGCCCUGGGCUCAACCUGGGAAUUGCAGUGGAUACUGGGUCACUAGAGUGUGGUAGAGGAUAGUGGAAUUUCCGGUGUAGCAGUGAAAUGCGUAGAGAUCGGAAGGAACAUCUGUGGCGAAGGCGACUAUCUGGGCCAACACUGACACUGAGACACGAAAGCGUGUGGAGCAAACAGGAUUAGAUACCCCGGUAGUCCCUGUCUCUUAUAC